CUACGGGGCGCUGCAGUAAGGAAUAUUGGUCAAUGGACGAAAGUCUGAACCAGCCAUGCCGCGUGAAGGAUUAAGGUCCUCUGGAUUGUAAACUUCUUUUAUAUGGGACGAAAAAAGGUCUUUCUAGAUCACUUGACGGUACCAUAUGAAUAAGCACCGGCUAGACUCCGUGCCAGCAGCCGCGGUAAUACGGAGGGUGCAAGCGUUAUCCGGAUUCACUGGGUUUAAAGGGUGCGUAGGCGGGCAGGUAAGUCAGUGGUGAAAUCCUGGAGCUCAACUCCAGAACUGCCAUUGAUACUAUCUGUCUUGAAUAUGGUGGAGGUAAGCGGAAUAUGUCAUGUAGCGGUGAAAUGCUUAGAUAUGACAUAGAACACCCAUUGCGAAGGCAGCUUACUACGCAUAUAUUGACGCUGAGGCACGAAAGCGUGGGGAUCAAACAGGAUUAGAUACCCCCGUAGUC
rnacentral:rRNA from 1 species